GGACUCUUCUUCCUCUCACUUUCCCAAUUCUACUACUUGUGUUCAUUCCCAAAUCCCCCAAAUCCCUCCAUUACCGGACCUUGACCUGUAGCAGCGCAAGUCGCUCUCCAGUCUCCUCCCAUGGCGACACCCGAAGACGACCCGCGGACCCAGCCUCUCCCUCCCUACCGUCAGAUGAUUUUGGCCGCGAUCUCCGCCGCCGGUGGCCACAGCGGCGCCAGCAAGUCCUCGAUCUCGGAUCACAUCGAGUCCACUUACUCUGACCGCCUCCCGCCGUCCCACGCCUCACUGCUCGCUGCUUAUCUCGCUACCAUGGCCUCCGCCGGCGAGCUGGUCGUCGUCGGCCAUGACGUCUACCUCCGCCCCGAUCCGGAAGCUCCUCCGCCCAAGCGCCGCGGCCGGCCUCCCAAGCCCCGGCACCCCGCCCCCGCCGAUGCCGCUCCCAAGCGUCGUGGCCGCCCGCCCAAGAGCGUCGACCCCCUGGCCCCGCCCAAGAUCCCGCGCCCCCGCGGACGCCCCCCGAAGCAAGACGGUGACCCCGAUCAGCCUGGCCUGGCGAAGAGACCGAGGGGGCGACCGCUGAAGGCCAGGCCGCCGCAGUUCACCGAAGUGGGGUUCGUGUGAGCUCCGCUCUGCUCCCGCAACGUGAGAAAGCUAAUUGUUUGACCCAAAUUGGCCUUCUGCUGCUGGAAUCAACUCGAUAUGAAAGCUUCGGCUGUGGUUUUCUAGUAGGAUUCACCCGACAAGAAGGAAUCACUUGGGGGAUGCUGAUGAUUGACCACAGCUGGAUAAGCACAAUAUAUAUGAAUGGGAUAGACAGAUGCUUUGGAAAGUUUAGGAAGAAAGGAAAAAAGGGCAAGUGUUCACUUGAAGAAUGUGGUUGAACAUUACCUUUCUUCUUCACCUAUUCAAAUGUUGAGUAAUGCAAUAGAUUCAAAGAACAGAGAGAGAGAGAGGCUACUCUUAGUGUAUGGAGGAUGAUGAAUUUGGGCAUUUGACAGCCUGAGAUGCGGUGGAGGGUCAUCCAGUGAUGCAAGGGCAGUUGAAGUUGGUGACAGACUUAACCUAAUUAGGGUCUUUAGUUCUUACCCUUUUCUAGAAGUUUUCAUUAGCUCACUUUCCUUUGCUAUCUUUUCUUCUUCAUUUUCAGGUUUGGAA